CCAAUGGCAAGCAUACAAGUAUAGGAUGCGGAACAAUAAUAAGAUGCGAGGGGAAUCACUACACUGUAUUGUCUUGCGAGCAUAUUUUUAAUCCUAUUGAGAAGAUUUAUGCUCGAUCAUUUGAUGGUGGGAAAUACAAAGUUGGAGUGCUAUUUAUGGACAAGCAGUCUGACAUAUCAACAGUGAGGAUAGUAUCUGAAGUUCCACUAGAAGUAGCAACAUUGGGUGAUUCAACUAAGUUGUUGCCCGGUACUAUGGUAGGUGCUUUGGGAUGUCCUCUGGGAUUACCAAAUACCUUCACAGCUGGAGUAGUGAGUUCUGUUGGGCGUAAAAGCUUUGAGCUG